rnacentral:rRNA from 1 species
UGUGACAUACCUAUCGUUGCCUCGGCGGUGCCCGCUCCGGCGGCCCGCCAGAGGACCCCCAAACUCUUGUUUUAUACAGUAUCUUCUGAGUAACACGAUUAAAUAAAUCAAAACUUUCAACAACGGAUCUCUUGGUUCUGGCAUCGAUGAAGAACGCAGCGAAAUGCGAUAAGUAAUGUGAAUUGCAGAAUUCAGUGAAUCAUCGAAUCUUUGAACGCACAUUGCGCCCGCCAGUAUUCUGGCGGGCAUGCCUGUUCGAGCGUCAUUUCAACCCUCAAGCCCCCGGGCUUGGUGUUGGGGAUCGGCGUGCCCUCGCGGCGCGCCGUCCCCUAAAUCUAGUGGCGGUCUCGCUGUAGCUUCCUCUGCGUAGUAGCAACACUCGCACUGGAUCGCAGCGCGGCCACGCCGUUAAACCCCCCACUUCUGAAAGUUUGACCUCGGAUCAGGUAGGAAUACCCGCUGAACUUAAGCAUAUCAAUAAGCGGAGGAA